CUCACCCUCCCCCACUCCGGCUCCCCUACACUCGGCCGCCCACCCCGCCCCGAAACCGCAGAGGAUGGGCGGGCUCCUCGCUGCUCGCCCCGCCCCUAAUUCGACGCUUUGCAUUCUUACAGCCAAUCAAGGAGGCUAGCUCUGCCUCCUCGGGCAAGGUGGCCAAUGAGGUGAGGCUGAGGGCACACCCCCCCUUCCCAGCUGAGCGCACACAACACAGCAUCCACGUGAGUCAGCUUCUUAAAGGCGACACCUCCGCCUGCCUAAUUGCCGCAGCUGGGACUCGGUGCCAGUCAUCGGCGGGCGUCGCCAGGUGGCGGCUGGGGCCUUAGCUUCCUGAUAGCCAAGGAAGCCUGGAAGACGCGAAAACAACAGGCUGUUUUCUAGGCAAAAACAGGUUUCUGAAAGCAACAAACCAAAAAGGACUCUCAAGUGUUCAGAGGGCAAGAGGUUCAGGAACCAUCGGUAAAGCUGAGGGAACAAAGGUGGUCUGGUGACAGAGAGCACACUCUGAACUGCUCGCAGCUGAAGCCUUAUGCAGGUGUGGGGAGAUGUGUCCCUGUCCGUUUCCAAUUCUUUUCUGCAGAGAUGUGCUUGUGCUGCAUGCUGACCUCCCCAUUCCGGUCCUGCCCUGAACCAUGCUCGUUUGCCAUCGUGGAUAGGUUCCUGACCUGAGCAGCUGCUGCUGAUGUCCUGGCUCUCCACCUUGCCGAUGGCCACUGUGGCAUUGUCCCGAUUCAAGUCGUGGAAGAAACUGCUUGGAGGACUGAGGCGAAGUCUCAGGGUUGCAGAUUGUUCCUGGAUAAUCUGUGUGCAGUGAGCAGCAAAGUAAACGAGAAGACUUUCAUUUGAGUCUAGAGAAAAUUCACAGUAAGUUUUGUCAGCAAACUGGAAGGUGAUCUGUUUUUCCGGUGUGGUUUCCUGGUAGAUAGUUUGUUUCCAUCUUGUUCUGUUAUUCCUUUAGCUACCAGGCUCAACGGUAUAGACAGCUCACUGUGACGCUUUGAACCAUGUCUGUUUCAAUGUAAUGGAGCUGAGUUCAUGAGCUUGUGACUUCUAAUCGCACCCAACUCAGAGAGCCAUAGAAUUCCAGGAGAAUAGGAAAGAACCCAUGUUUCUCAACAGGAUGGUUUCAAGAGCCUGUCUUCACCCUUCACCUUCUCCAAUCCUUUCCCACACAACAUUCUAGUUGCCUCAUGUGAGCAGAAUCUGAAAAAGGGCUUGGGGGUGCUUACAUGGGGAUUUAUUAAACAAAUACCCUUCUGAGAAAUGGAAUGAGAAACAUAUAUGGUGGUUAGAUGUAAUAUGCAUCUUAGAAGGUCUUAUUAAUAAAAACAAACCCAGGGCCAGGUAUUGGGGUGAAUGCUGAAAGAUCAGAGAAACAGAACAAGCCACAGCUAACCUCACCUCGACAAUUCCUCAGCGGAUCCUGUUUCCUCAGACUGGAAGCCUCUGUGUCCUCAUCCGAAUGGAUCUCAGCUGAACUGUUGCUCAAAAGCCUAAAAGCUUAACUGACCCUAGUUCCUGGUCCUGAUGCCUUAUAUACCUUUCUGCUUCCUGCCAUCACUUCCUGGGAUUAAAGGCAUGUGUCCCCAUGCCUGGCUGUUUCCGGUGUGGCUUUGAACUCACAGAGAUCCAGAUGGAUCUCUGCCUCUGGAAUGCCAAGAUUAAACGUGUGUGCGCCACCAUUUUCUGGCCUCUAUGUCUAUCUAGUGGCUGUUCUGUCCUCUGACCCCAGAUGAGUUUAUUAUGGUGCACGACAUAUUGGGGAACACAAUAUCACCACAGGUAGAGUGGGGUGGAAGUGGCAGGAAAGAAAACACAAGUGUCAUCUCAUCUGCUGUUCAGCCUCAGCUGGGUCCCACGGGAUGCCCUGGGGAAGAAAUAGUGUCUCCCAGAUAGCCCCACCUUGAAGCAAGGGGCCUAGUACUUUGCUCUUUAUAUCGCCCAGUCAGUGGCUACAGGCUACCCAGGGUAAUGGAGCACGGGCAAAAGCAAUUCUUCAAGGGAGGGAUGACUGUUUUAGUAGCCCAUACUCUCCCCACUGGGAGAUGGAUACCCACUCUAGAAAUGAGCGUGUUGGCUGGACACCGGAUGUGCAUAUUACACCAGGCAACCCUGAAGUGCAGGCUUGACAGUGGCAGCUGGUAAAUGACUUGCCUAGCAGCACAUGGCGAGGGCAUUGGGAUGUAGCCUGCAUCCCUUCAAGUUUAGCCCAGCUUGGGUGGUGGUUGGUGAUUUUCCCAAGGUUGAGAAUAUGUAGCUUAUAGUUUCAAUGCUUUAUGUAAGACUAGCUUCCCUUCCUUCCUUCCUUCCUUCCUUCCUUCCUUCCUUCCUUCCUUCCUUCCUUCCUCCUUCUUGCUGUAGACUAAACCAAACAAUAAAACCAGCCAACCAAAACCAAAACAAAACAAAAAAAGAGGCACAAACCCCAAAUGUUUGUCAUGAUUCAGGAAGCCAUGAUUGGGGUGAUGCUUUCAAGCCCAGAGAAGGACAAAUGCAACAUGAAUCUUAAAAGGUCUUAUUAAUAAAAACAAACCCGGGACAGGUAUUGGGGUGAAUGCUGAAAGAUCAGAGAAGCAGAACAAGCCACAGCUAACCUCAUCUUGUCAACUUCUCAGCCAAUCCUGUUUCCUCAAACUGGAAGCCUCUGAGUCCUCAUCUGGAAUAAAUCUCAGCUGAACUGCUGCUAAAAGCCUGAAAGCUUAACCAGGCUCUAGUUCCUGGUCCUCAAGCCUUAUAUAACUUUCUGCUUCUUGCCGUCACUUCCUGGGAUUAAAGGCGUGUGUCACCAUGCCUGGCUGUUUCCAGUGUGGCUUUGAACUCACAGAGAUCCAGAUGGAUCUCUGCCUCCUGAAUGCUAGGAUUAAAGGUGUGUGUGUCACCAUUUUCUGGCCUCUAUGUCUAUCUAGUGGCUGUUCUGUCCUCUGGCCCCAGAUAAGUUUAUUAGAAUGCACUAUAUAUUGGGGGACACAAUAUAUCACCACAGACAAAUGUAAAGAGGGGCUCAGAGACUCAACACAGCAUAGACUCUUAAGAACAGUAGACUAUCAAUAUCAAAAACCUUCUCUACUUUGUGAUUAGGAUGGCCAUGGGGUCUCUAGAACAUGACACCCUUAGAGUUAAGUAGGAAGUAGAUAGUUCUAGAAUAGAAUAGCAAGGACCCAUACAUUAUCCUGUACUGGGGACCAACAUCACUGAUUUGGUGUCCUGUACUGUGGACCACCAUCACUGAUGCCUAGUGUCCACUAACAGCCAUAGUUACGUCUGAUACGUCUUAUCUUGCUCAGAGUAGGCUCAGGAUUUGGGGAGGGGUCAGGGUCCUCAUUGGAACAGGACUGGGUGAAGAAAGGCUUAUAGGAACGAUGCUUAGAUUUAAGUCCUAGGAACAGGUAGCACUUCCAAUUUAAAGGAGUUAGAAUGAGUUGCUGGUCCCGAGGGAACUCUCUUAUUUUGUUACAAACCCGUUGUUGCUUUGUUUUGGCCGAAUCAAGCAUGUGCCCGAAGCUGCUGGUUGGCUUGAUGAUCUUGACAGUAAUUGCAGAUGUGGUCUGGAGGCUGAUGUCAAGGAGAGGCGCCAUCGCGGCAGUCUGCAUCCCCGUGUGUUCUAUUGACUAGUAAAUAUGGCACGGAAAAUUUCAGGCAUAAUGAUUACUCAGCCAACUAGAUCAAAUCCUAUUUCCAAAAGCUGUUUUCUCGCAGAGUUAAUGCGUUGGUUCCUGACUUCCUCUGAUCAGUGGGGCAUCUAGCUGUAAGGAACAGAUUGGAAAUUAUUUUAUUGAUUUUUUUUCUUUUUAUUUACUAGAGGUGAGAGAAAAUUUCUCUUUCCUGAGUGUUGUUUAGCCCUGAGUCAAGGUAAGGACACUGGGAGGUGCUGGGAGAGUGGCUCAUAGCCCGAUGUCACUGCGUUGUCACCCCCCAACCUCACCCCCCCAUGUGGAGCCAGGAAGUGACUUUCUCUGUUGCCUUGGGAAAGUCAACUUUCCUUUUUGGUCCCAGCUACAGUGGUCAUUGGGAGGUUGAUGGCUACAAUGUACAGGGUCUCAAGUAGCUCAAUUCAUGGGUGUCAGACGUUCUUAAGUCUCACCAGCACCCUGGAGAUCAUAAUGCUGGGCUGCAAAGCCUCUUCUGGUUCAAGUCCUUGGGGAAAUAUAGGUUGGAAAAUUUCCUUUCUUCCCUGGCUGCGCAUCUGUCAUCAGCCAGGAGACUGAACACAUCUGACUUGGGCUGUGCUCACUAGAAAGCUUUCCUGCCUACACAAAACAGAGGGUGGGAUGUGCAAUGGAAAUCAUGUCUCCACCCCAGGUUAUUUCUUCUUCACAGACUCUCUCUAGUCUACCCUCAAACUAAGAGUGAAUAUCAUGAUUAGGAUGUCUUCCCAUGGUCCUCUCUGUUUUUAAUCCCCUAAAUGAUUUCUAAGGUUAUGCAAAGUGAGGACUUUUAUGCACGUUAUUAGAAAACAUUAAUUACGUACCGUGACAGGCUACUAAGAAGCUUUACCUGCAUUGCUUCAUUUAAUCCUCAAAAGAACUCUAUGAAUUAGCUAAUCAUGACUAA